AUUGAACGCUGGCGGCGUGCUUAACACAUGCAAGUCGAUCGGUAACGCGGGGGCAACCCUGGCGACGAGAGGCGGACGGGUGAGGAACGCUUGGGAAUCUGCCUAUCAGCGGGGGACAACACGGGGAAACUCGUGCUAAUACCGCAUACGCUCUACGGAGGAAAGCCGGGGACCGCAAGGCCUGGCACUGAUAGAUGAGCCCAAGCCGGAUUAGCUAGUUGGCGGGGUAAAGGCCCACCAAGGCGACGAUCCGUAGCUGGUCUGAGAGGAUGAUCAGCCACACUGGAACUGAGACACGGUCCAGACUCCUACGGGAGGCAGCAGUGGGGAAUAUUGGACAAUGGGCGCAAGCCUGAUCCAGCCAUACCGCGUGGGUGAAGAAGGCCUUCGGGUUGUAAAGCCCUUUUGUUGGGAAAGAAAUCCAGCCGGCUAAUACCUGGUUGGGAUGACGGUACCCAAAGAAUAAGCACCGGCUAACUUCGUGCCAGCCGCCGCUGUAAAAC
rnacentral:rRNA from 1 species